rnacentral:rRNA from 1 species
AUUGAACGCUGGCGGCAUGCCUUACACAUGCAAGUCGAACGGCAGCACGGGAGCAAUCCUGGUGGCGAGUGGCGAACGGGUGAGUAGAGCAUCGGAACGUGCCCAGUCGUGGGGGAUAACGUAGCGAAAGCUACGCUAAUACCGCAUACGAUCUGUGGAUGAAAGCGGGGGACCGUAAGGCCUCGCGCGAUUGGAGCGGCCGAUGUCAGAUUAGGUAGUUGGUGAGGUAAAGGCUCACCAAGCCGACGAUCUGUAGCUGGUCUGAGAGGACGACCAGCCACACUGGGACUGAGACACGGCCCAGACUCCUACGGGAGGCAGCAGUGGGGAAUUUUGGACAAUGGGCGCAAGCCUGAUCCAGCAAUGCCGCGUGCAGGAUGAAGGCCUUCGGGUUGUAAACUGCUUUUGUACGGAGCGAAACGGCUUCCACUAAUACUGGGGGCUAAUGGCGGUACCGUAAGAAUAAGCACCGGCUAACUACGUGCCAGCCGCCGCAGUAAUAC